rnacentral:rRNA from 1 species
UCCCCUAGUACUGCGAGUGAAGCGGGAAAGCUCAAAUUUAAAAUCUGGUAGUCUUUGGCUGCCCGAGUUGUAAUCUAGAGAAGCAUUAUCCGCGCUGGACCGUGUACAAGUCUCCUGGAACGGAGCGUCAUAGAGGGUGAGAAUCCCGUCUUUGACACGGACUACCAGGGCUUUGUGAUGUGCUCUCAAAGAGUCGAGUUGUUUGGGAAUGCAGCUCUAAAUGGGUGGUAAAUUCCAUCUAAAGCUAAAUAUUGGGCGAGAGACCGAUAGCGAACAAGUACCGUGAGGGAAAGAUGAAAAGAACUUUGGAAAGAGAGUUAAACAGUACGUGAAAUUGUUGAAAGGGAAACGCUUGAAGUCAGUCGCGUUUGCCGGGGAUCAGCCUUGCUCUUUUGCUUGGUGUACUUCCCGGUCGACGGGUCAGCAUCAAUUUUGACCGGUGGAUAAAGGUCAGGGGAAUGUGGCAUCUCCGGAUGUGUUAUAGCCCUUGGUUGCAUACAUCGGUUGGGAUUGAGGAAUUCAGCACGCCGCAAGGCCGGGUCUUCUGACCACGUACGUGCUUAGGAUGCUGGCAUAAUGGCUUUAAUCGACCCGUCUUGAAACACGGACCAAGGAGUCUAACAUGCCCGCGAGUGUUUGGGUGGAAAACCCGGACGCGUAAUGAAAGUGAAAGUUGAGAUCCCUGUCGCGGGGAGCAUCGACGCCCGGACCAGACCUUUUGUGACGGUCCCGCGGUAGAGCGUGUAUGUUGGGACCCGAAAGAUGGUGAACUAUGCCUGAAUAGGGUGAAGCCAGAGGAAACU